ACUCCUGGGUCUCGGGGUCAGGGAGGGGACGGGGGCACCCACCUCCUGUCUGUGAUGGCAUGUUGUUCCCCACUCUGGGAUGGGGAAGAGGCCUGUCGGGAGUUCUGCAUGGCGGUCCACUGCAUGUGCUGCCCCCUUGGGUUGCUCUGCCAAUGUAUUACUACCAUCCCAUAGCUCCUGCCGAAUUGAGACCCUCUGACGACUUGCCGACUAACUGGCCACCACGAGCUGCAGUCUGUAGCACUGAACAAACAAAAAAAACGCUCAAGCCUUACGACCAGAGAAGGAUUUCAGCAAACCACCACCUCCCACUCAAUGUCCCCUCCAAACUUCACACUUCCCUGCCUGCUGAGGAUGACUCUGUUCACACCCCACCCAGCGCGGUUCUACCCCACGAAACUGUGACUUCCCAAACGAGCCUUUCCCUAGGGGUACACCUAAGACCAGGAAGUUGGAGAAAGCAGCCGCAGCUCAAUACUCUUCCAGCUCUGCCCGGGUUGGGAAGUCCUUAGGUGCAGUGCGGCUCCCACUGGGUCCCUGGAGCCUCCGAUUAGAGUAUGAAAUUCCUGGCAACUGGUAUAGAAUCGACCUAGAGGCUUUGCAGUUGGCAAGCUAACUUGCGGCCUUAUUUCUGCCUUUAAUCUCCCACAAGGCGUCUGUUGCUUUGGGUCCUCCAUGACUCUUAGGCCCGCCUCAAAAACCCAGGCAACCUCCUAGGUAGGCUCAAAGGUAGACCCAUUUCCACCGCAGCAGGUGAACACGACCGUGUUUUCAAUCGUGUGUCCACAGUUCAGAUCCCUUUCCCGAUUGCAGCCUGGCCUGCAUCCCGGCUCCUUCCUGCUCGUGUCUUAACCUAAGUGCUUUCUUGUUUGAAACGCCUACAAACCUCCAUGUUCCUAGGUCCUCUGGCAAAUGCCCUGCUGUUGCGUUUUAUGUGUUGCUUGGACUCUGUGGGGUCAUCCUCCCUCCCCUCCCGUCCCCAGGGCAGAUUUGAUUGAAUGUUUGCUGAAGUUUUUGUCUCUUGGUCCACAGUAUUUGGAAAGGUCACUGAAAAUUGGUCUUUCAGUCUUGGCAUUUCAUUUAGGAUCUUCAUGAGAAAUGGGCUUCUUGAGGCCUGAAAGUGUAUAUUGUGUGUCUCAUCUGUGAACUGCUUCCUGCUAUAUAGAACUAGCUCAAAAGACUGUACAUAUUUACAAGAAACUUUAUAUUCGUAAAAAAAAAAAAGAGGAAAUUGAAUUGGUUUCUACUUUUUUAUUGUACAAGGUGCAUUUUUCAACACUUACUUUUGGUUUCAAUGGUGGUAGUUGUGGACAGCCAUCUUCACUGGAGGGUGGGGAGCCUCGUGUGACCACCAGGAUGCCAGCAGGAAAUAUCGUAAAACAAAAUUGCAGUCAAAAGCUUAUUAGCAUCAAUCAAGAUUCUAGGUCUCCAAAAGUACAGGCUUUUUCUUCAUUACCUUUUUUAUUCAGAAGGAGGAAGAGAACACAAGGAAUGAUUCAAGAUCCACCUUGAGAGGAAUGAACUUUGUAGUUGAACAAUAGUGAAAUAAAGCAAUGAUCUAAAAGUA